rnacentral:tRNA from 1 species
ANAAAAUUCGUGGGCUUUAUAGACCGGGAGGGUUCAAGNCCCUCUACC